GUGACAAGAAAUCUAAAAGUUUUUACAAAAUUUUUUGGGAACUAAACAAGGCCUAAAAGGGUCAUGCACCCAUAACUCAGCCCUCUCCAACAGCGAUGCAAAUGCGGAGCUCCAUCCCGAAGCCGAGGACGACCGUGCGGCUGAAGACACCGUCAAGUUGUCUACCUCGUUUGCUACCACGGCGACCCGCAUCCUGACACAGAGGAUGACCGUGCUGCCAAGCACACUACCGAGGUCCCAUGCGCUUCCUCCCCGGUCCUCAUCUCUCCGAGGCAGCCAGUGGAGAAGACGAAGAUGUGCCAUCACGCGUGCUCUCUCUGGCGGGCACAGGCUCCGACGGUGGCUUCAGCGCGGGUACGAGCGCCACCUUGCCCUGCCACAGGCACAACCUCGA
rnacentral:lncRNA from 1 species